rnacentral:misc_RNA from 1 species
GAUGAAGAACGCAGUGAAACGCGAUACGUAAUGUGAAUUGCAGAAUUCAGUGAAUCAUCGAGUCUUUGAACGCACAUUGCGCCCCCUGGUAUUCCGGGGGGCAUGCCUGUCCGAGCGUCAUUGCUGCCCUCAAGCACGGCUUGUGUGUUGGGCCUCCGUCCUCCUCCCGGGGGACGGGCCCGAAAGGCAGCGGCGGCACCGCGUCCGGUCCUCGAGCGUAUGGGGCUUCGUCACCCGCUCUUGUAGGCCCGGCCGGCGCUUGCCGACACAUCAAUCUUUUUUCCAGGUUGACCUCGGAUCAGGUAGGGAUACCCGCUGAACUUAAGCAUAUCAAUAAGCGGAGGA